GAUUGACUUGGCUAGCUUUA
rnacentral:misc_RNA from 1 species